UAAGAGAUAGUUAAAAUAAUAUUAAUUUUGGAGAUUAAAGUAGCUAAGUAGUAUGGCUCUCUUAA
rnacentral:tRNA from 1 species